GUCACUUAGGUUAUUUAAAACCAGGGGCCUUCAAAGCCCCAAACAAGAUUCCACAACUCUUAGUGUCUGAGGGCCC
rnacentral:tRNA from 1 species